rnacentral:rRNA from 1 species
UACGGGGGGGGCAAGCGUUGUUCGGAAUUACUGGGCGUAAAGGGCGCGUAGGCGGUCUACUAAGUUGGAUGUGAAAACUCUGGGCUUAACCCAGAGCCUGCAUUCAAAACUGAUAGGCUGGAGUUCUGGAGGGGAUAGCGGAAUUCCUGGUGUAGCGGUGAAAUGCGUAGAUAUCAGGAGGAACACCGGUGGCGAAGGCGGCUAGCUGGACAGAAACUGACGCUGAGGCGCGAAAGCUAGGGGAGCAAACAGG